UGAAUACGAGACGCUAAGGCGUCGAAGUAGUGUAUGUCAUACUUCCAAGAAAAGCUUGCACUGUCAUAAGUAAAAAAUGCCUGUACCAUAACCGACACAGGUGGGUAGGUAGAGUAUACUAAGGGGCGCGAGAUAACUCUCUCUAAGGAACUCGGCAAAAUAACUCCGUAACUUCGGGAGAAGGAGUACCUUAUUCUAUAAGGUUGCAAUAACAAGAUCCAAGCAACUGUUUAUCAAAAACACAGGUCUCCGCUAAGUCGUAAGACGAUGUAUGGGGGCUGACGCCUGCCCAGUGCCAGAAGGUUAAAGAAGUCGGUUAGCAUUAGCGAAGCUGGUAACUGAAGCCCUGGUGAACGGCGGCCGUAACGAUAACGGUCCUAAGGUAGCGAAAUUCCUUGUCGGGUAAGUUCCGACCCGCACGAAAGGCGUAAUGAUUUGGAUACUGUCUCGGAGAGGGGCUCGGUGAAAUAGACUUGUCUGUGAAGAUGCGGACUACCUGCACCAGGACAGAAAGACCCUAUGAAGCUUUACUGUAACUUGAAAUUGAAAUUGGACAUUAUUCGCGCAGUAUAGGUGGGAGGUGUUGAUUAUAAUCUUGCGGGAUUAUUGGAGCCAUCAGUGAGAUACCACUCUUGUAAUGUUAGAUUUCUAACUUUGAAUCAUUAUCUGGUCAAAGGACAGUUUCAGGCGGGCAGUUUGACUGGGGCGGUCGCCUCCCAAACGGUAACGGAGGCGUACAAAGGUUUCCUCUGAACGGGUAGAAAUCGUAUCUAGAGUGUAAAGGCAUAAGGAAGCUUGACUGUGAGACCUACAAGUCGAACAGGGACGAAAGUCGGUCUUAGUGAUCUGACGGUACUGAGUGGAAAGGCCGUCACUCAACGGAUAAAAGUUACUCUAAGGAUAACAGGCUGAUCUCCCCCAAGAGUUCACAUCGACGGGGAGGUUUGACACCUCGAUGUCGGCUCAUCGCAUCCUGGGGCGGUAGUACGUCCCAAGGGUUGGGCUGUUCGCCCAUGAAAGCGGUACGCGAGCUGGGUUCAGAACGUCGAGAGACAGUUCGGUCCAUAUCCGGUGUAGGCGUUAGAAUAUUGAGAGGAGCCUUCUUUAGUACGAGAGGACCGAGAAGGACAUACCUCUGGUGUACCAGUUAUCGUGCCAACGGUAAACGCUGGGUAGCUAUGUAUGGAGUGGAUAACCGCUGAAAGCAUCUAAGUGGGAAGCCCACCUCAAGAUAAGUA
rnacentral:rRNA from 1 species